rnacentral:rRNA from 1 species
UCUGGGUCACCUCCCACCCGUGUUUAUUUUACCUUGUUGCUUCGGCGGGCCCGCCUUAACUGGCCGCCGGGGGGCUUACGCCCCCGGGCCCGCGCCCGCCGAAGACACCCUCGAACUCUGUCUGAAGAUUGUAGUCUGAGUGAAAAUAUAAAUUAUUUAAAACUUUCAACAACGGAUCUCUUGGUUCCGGCAUCGAUGAAGAACGCAGCGAAAUGCGAUACGUAAUGUGAAUUGCAAAUUCAGUGAAUCAUCGAGUCUUUGAACGCACAUUGCGCCCCCUGGUAUUCCGGGGGGCAUGCCUGUCCGAGCGUCAUUUCUGCCCUCAAGCACGGCUUGUGUGUUGGGCCCCGUCCUCCGAUCCCGGGGGACGGGCCCGAAAGGCAGCGGCGGCACCGCGUCCGGUCCUCGAGCGUAUGGGGCUUUGUCACCCGCUCUGUAGGCCCGGCCGGCGCUUGCCGAUCAACCCAAAUUUUUAUCCAGGUUGACCUCGGAUCAGGUAGGGAUACCCGCUGAACUUAAGCAUAUCAAUAA